rnacentral:lncRNA from 1 species
UAGAUCUCUGAAUUGUGGCCUUCUUGCUGGUGUCUCUGGCUUCCCAGUUUGGUAAUGUCUUGGAGUUGAGCACCAACCACCUUUCUAUGAUAUGCUUUGGUCUAAGCUCAGACCCAAGUGGCCACUGCCAGAACCGGACUAAGCCAGGACUGGGAGCUGGCUGAAGUGUCUGAGGUGAAAGGGUGGUUGGAGGGAUCCAGGGCCUACUAAUUUAAAUGCCAGAUCUUCUCUAAGACACUGUCUGGGGUCGCCAUCCAUAAGCGCCCCAAAGGUGCUGUGCAGUUGAACAUCCACACUAAACAUCCCCAGCUGGCAGCUGUUUUGCUGGGAUUGAAGGCUGGGACUAUCCAACAAGACCUAUUUCAGACUGCUUGGUGCCCUGGGCUGCAGGACUAGGGAUCCCCACACAAGCCCCCUCAAAGUCCCUCAGUUCGUACUUACUUUCCAGUCUUAUGAAAAUAAUUUAUUUCUAAACUCAGAAAUACGGUAUAUUUACAUAUGCAUGUAUGUAUAUAUAUAUAUAUAAUAUAAUGUAAUAUAUAUGUGUGUAUACACACGCAUACAUAUAUAUAUAUUGAAUGAUGCACGGUGGCUCAGUUAUCUGCCUACCUGGAUUUCUUAUGCAUUUAUUUAUGUCACCUCCACUGUACUGCAGAUACCUAAAGAGCUAUAGACAGAGCUCUAUUCAGCUCUGGCUGUAGGAAAUAUUCACUAGGUGAUUAUUAGACAUAAGUUCUAGCUUGGGCCCCGAUAACACUCAAGCAAGGAAUGUAAAAAAAAUACAUCACAAGUAAGGACAAAACCAAACCAACCCUUGCUUUAUAAUUUUCCCAAUUUAAUUAUAUGUGCACCCAUUUAGAAUGUAAGAAUAUGUAUUUUUAUCCUAUAGGCAUCAAUUUCCAGACUUAUGUGCCCUUGAAACCAGAAGCAAUAAAUGGUGUUGGUACUGAGCACUGAGAUGUUUGUAUAAUUUUACCUUCACAUGGAUAAAGCUUACACAUGGCUCUGCAAUAAAUUCAAUCUUGUCAUUUUUAGGAUUGAGAGGAUAUCUCUGGCCUUCGUUGGUGUCAUAUUAAACUGAGUAAGUCCAACCAGCAGGCAUCCAACUGAAAAUGUCUCCCGGGUGGCAUGUACCGGUGAGCCUAGGCUCAGUUGCAGGCGCGAGAUGACUCCCCAUGCCUAGGAGGUAGUGGUUUCAGCCCUACUGUUCUCUUGGUGCCCAAGGUUUCAUGGCCUAGUAGCUCAAGCUUUAGAAACCUACAGGGUUUCUAGAGUCCGCCCCCAGCGAAAACUGAAAGCAAAUUCCACAGCAGAGUCUGAACUUUGCUUCAAGCAAGUUUUCUCCAGAGAAUUAGAGGUGGCUUUGGGAGGCCAAAGUUAGUGUGAGCACACGAGGGAGGGGACCUGGUGGCCUAGCUUGGCCAGAGGCAAAUUGAAGGCACCCUCUUCCUUAUUUCUGUUACUCCUUAGUGCCCACCUCCGGUCUGCUGCCGACGCCCAGCAUGGGUGUCUACAGUUCGCACCGGGUGGUAAAGGAGAAGUAGCUUUGUACAGAGCCUUGCUCAGAGUACUCUGCCUGAUCCAGCUUGAGAAAAUUUGAGUCCAGAUCACCUUCUGCGGGGAAGAGUGGUUAGAAGUUAAUCCGAGCAGUCCCUGGCCUAGCUCUGUGUCCUAACUUCCAGCUAGCGUGUAAGUUAUCUGGGGCCACCUGCGCAGCAAACUUCCAGCUCUGAGCCCCGACUUCUGAAGAGGGCACUCACAGGGCCGUUUCGGCCUCAGCCCGGGAGGAAAGCUUGCUUCGGGAGGAUGAGUGUGUGGAUCCCACGCACACGUGGUUGCCCAGACCCUUCUAGAUCCCCUAACUCGAGGCGCUUCCCUUGGAGAUUCGUGGAUUUGGGGUUCUAGCAAAGGUGCAAACUGAGCGCUUGGACUCAGGCGGGGGGCGGUUGCCAGUCUCUCCGCCGGGCCUGUCCCCAGGCUGGCCGUAGUGGGUGAGUGAUGAGGGCAGAGAAGGGCGCCCAUAAAUCCCGAGUGUCAGGGCGAAAAACUCUCUUUAUUGUCUGCAUGAUGGAUGGGCCCGGGGACGAGACACCAAAUACUUCGUAUCGCCUUUAAAUGGGAACACAUUUUUCGCAGCCAUAAUUCAUGUUUUUUAAAUAGAAAGUUUGAAAUGUUGCCUAUAUUUCACCGGCCCUGACAUAUUUAUGAAUCGUUCCUUGCAUGCAAAUAUCAUUAUUUAAAGCGACCGGGAGAGCGGGAGUGGGGUGGGAUGGGGGGAGGGGAGGAGGCGCGGGGCCCCUGGGGCGUGGGAGUGGUAAACUGGAGACCGGUAAAUGGAGGGGAUUCAUCUCCCUAAAAUGCAGAUGAUGGGGCGCGGAGAAAAGCUGUGUCUGGAAGCUGAGCAAGCCCUGGGACUUCGCUCCCGCUGACGACGUUGCUAGGCCUCCUGAGGAGGUCCGCUCGGCUUGGGACCAAGUGCAAGUUUCCUAAUCUUGGGGGGGGGGGGAACCAAAAGAUAAUUUGUAACCUUCUUUGAAGCUGAAGCCACAUUUUCCAAGGAAGAAGUUUAAAAAAGGAAGAGUUUAACAAACACAAGUAAUAAUAACAACCCAUCGUGUUUCGUGUUCUUUGCCAGUACAUCGAUUUUAUUGAUUUUCAUUCUGCAAACAUGGGAGUGUGCGCACCCGGUGGGGCAGCUGUCAGUACGCAGUCACCACGCAGAGUGGGUGGGGGAAAAUCCUCAGUUGUCACCGCUCCAUCUCCCACCCCAUCUAUUCAGUUCAACAGCUUCCAGGCACAAUGGAGACUGCUCAAGACGCGGGGACACAAAUGAUCCGGUCCCCAAGCUGAAGGGCUUCAGUCCCGCCCCUUCUAUCUGCCCAGCUCCAGCACCAUUCCGGGGCUCCGCGUUCUCUCUCCCCCACCACUGCAGGAUCAACACAGUCUCUACCUCUCUCCAAGUCAAUCUUUCCCUGGAGGCACCUACACCUGCGCCCUUACUUGCCCACACUUUACCUGUGAGCUUCUCAGCGGCGCCAGCGGCCCCGCGGAUAACCGAGAAAGGAUGGGGAGGGCGGGAAAGUGGGAGGGUCAGAGAGCAGCCAGUUGUUCCGAGCCAGGAUCCUCCUUCUAGACCCGAAGCUGGGGUGCAGGUUUAAGUCGCUCUAGGAGCUGAAUUGAGCGCGGGAGGGAGACCCAGGGGUGGGCGGGCCCAGGGCCAGCAGCACUUCCGCUGGGGUGGGGCUGAGGGCUGACGUGGGCUCCGCCCUCUGCCGCGUCGACCCGCCUCCUACAAUUCAGUCUUCAUAGCUGAGAGUUUCUUCAGUACCAGUCCAAAGCCUGAAGGCAGUGGCAGCUCCCUUUUCCUACCUGCCUUUACUUUCUUUUUACAUCCUGAGAACAGAAGGACCUACUAUCAAGAGCCUAGGCCCCAGGUAGAGUCCACCCCCCACCCCCAAGAUUUAUCCAAACUUCCGUCCUUUGGUGGACUCACCUGGUGCAGAGUCCUCCACGCUUUCUCUGGUAUUCAACCAUAGGUUCUGUAGAAUAGGUGGGAGUACAACCAGUGCCUCCGGGGUCUCAUCUUUCAGUAGGAACAAAACUGUUUUUUCCACAUUAAGUACUUUUAUGCAACUGCAUGUCAUUAAAUAAAUCUACAUCUCAUU